rnacentral:rRNA from 1 species
AUUGAACGCUGGCGGCAAGCCUAACACAUGCAAGUCGAACGGUAACAGGAAACAGCUUGCUGUUUCGCUGACGAGUGGCGGACGGGUGAGUAAUGUCUGGGAAACUGCCUGAUGGAGGGGGAUAACUACUGGAAACGGUAGCUAAUACCGCAUAACGUCGCAAGACCAAAGAGGGGGACCUUCGGGCCUCUUGCCAUCGGAUGUGCCCAGAUGGGAUUAGCUAGUAGGUGGGGUAACGGCUCACCUAGGCGACGAUCCCUAGCUGGUCUGAGAGGAUGACCAGCCACACUGGAACUGAGACACGGUCCAGACUCCUACGGGAGGCAGCAGUGGGGAAUAUUGCACAAUGGGCGCAAGCCUGAUGCAGCCAUGCCGCGUGUAUGAAGAAGGCCUUCGGGUUGUAAAGUACUUUCAGCGGGGAGGA